CUCCCUCACCUCCUUGUAGCUCUGGGCAAGAACCAAAGAGGCAGAUUGUCAUGGAGGCAGUCUUGGGAUGAAAGCUUGGCCAUUCUCAGUGCCCUUCAUGGUUGGGCUUUGGCUUUCUGCCCUAUACUUCACUGUCAUUGGGACUCUUUGAAGAAAUUGCCUGUUUCUUCCAGGUGCCAUAUAUGGCCUCUUGAGACCGGGUCCUGAAGAUAUGCCUCUGAGCAAUCUAGAAGACCUUUGGAUAUCCCAGAACCUGCUAUUUAUGUACCUUGGGCCCCAAUUUGCAUCUACGAGUGACCUACUCAUCACAUAGUAAGAAGAUGGAUACCUGCCUAUACUUUCUUGGAUCCAGUGGACUUCCAGGGUCAUGGACACUUCAUUUACAAAACAAGUACAGAAUUAUACGCAGUGAGACAAAUGGCCUACCUCUAGAAAUGGGUGCAACUCUGAAUCUUCAGAACCAAAGACAAGUCUCUUGCUGUUCCUUCUGGCUGCCUCAGACACAGGCAUUGCUUCAGCUGGCUUCAUGUAGGGUUCUAUUGUUAUGUCUAGGUGUCUCCAUCACUGAAGUGACUUAGCUAACUAGGAAAUAAACAAGAGAGAGCAACCUG